rnacentral:rRNA from 1 species
AUUGAACGCUGGCGGCAGGCCUAACACAUGCCAGUCGAGCGGAUGAAGGGAGCUUGCUCCUGGAUUCAGCGGCGGACGGGUGAGUAAUGCUCAGGAAUCUGCCUGGUAGUGGGGGAUAACGUCCGGAAACGGGCGCUAAUACCGCAUACGUCCUGAGGGAGAAAGUGGGGGAUCUUCGGACCUCACGCUAUCAGAUGAGCCUAGGUCGGAUUAGCUAGUUGGUGGGGUAAAGGCCUACCAAGGCGACGAUCCGUAACUGGUCUGAGAGGAUGAUCAGUCACACUGGAACUGAGACACGGUCCAGACUCCUACGGGAGGCAGCAGUGGGGAAUAUUGGACAAUGGGCGAAAGCCUGAUCCAGCCAUGCCGCGUGUGUGAAGAAGGUCUUCGGAUUGUAAAGCACUUUAAGUUGGGAGGAAGGGCAGUAAGUUAAUACCUUGCUGUUUUGACGUUACCAACAGAAUAAGCACCGGCUAACUUCGUG